GACGUCUUGGUGAAAGCAGAGAAUACGUGAGGUAUUGGCGUUUGAAAACAUAUUUUAACUUUAGCUAACCAUUCAGUUGAAAUCAACUGUGCAAAACAUGGAUGCGGAAGGUUUCUAUGCUGCGCGAGUUUAGAUCAAGAUGUGGCCAUCAUGGAUGAGGGCAGAGGGAAGGAUGGAUGACUUGUGUAGCGCAAGCCAUGCGGAGCAAUGGCGUUGUAAAGUUAUUCUGUAUUAAAUAGGGUUUGUCUUGCGCAUGAGAACCAAUUUUAUGUUAAAGCAGUGUUAUCUACCAGUAACAGCCGUGUGGUUGGCGUAAACGUCGACGUUUGUUUCACCUGCUACGUUAGCUAGCUGAAAAGUUCAGUUCGCCUGCUUCGUGUGAGCGGAGGUCACGAGCAGCCGAAAUUACCUGAUCUUCCACACGACCUGGCACCUGCAAACGAACACGGAGAACUGUGAUUUAGUAAGUUCCGCAACCCACCAGUUAAGAAACACUGGCUAAGGCCAUGGAUUGGUUGUGAGGAGUACAAACUUCAGACAUCUCUGCCUUGGGAUCUUCCACAUGACCUGUCUUGCAAGUGGAACAGAGAACUCGACUGACUGGUUUUUCACCUGGGACCUGAGAGGACGAGAAGGUGUGUACUGCUGAAGCAUGUCUGGUGUUGAUGAACUAAUGACUGUCAUCAGUCCCUGCUGAGGAAAUGGAUUCUGGUGUCCGUGUGAGUGAGUGUGGCUGUGGGAGGCAAUACAACAUGAAGAUUUCUUGCAGCUUCUCAAAUCUGGCCUGGGCUUUAGACUGAAGGCAAGCCAGUGGUACAGGUAAGCACAGUAAGUGGUUGAGCAUGCAUACCAGUAAAUAUGGUGGUGCAGCACGUCAUGCUUCAGUUCAGUGUGCGGUGGCAACUCCGCAAGUGGGGGCGCCUUUGGAACAUCAAUACGGUGAACGUGACUCGUUGCUUCGAGCCAGAUGGCAUCCCUCUGGUUGGUGUUGGGAGGUAUAGUGCAUGUAUUCACAGCGCUUCACUUUUUCCACAUUUUGUUAUGUUACAGCCUUAUUCCAAAAUGGAUUCAAUUAAUUUCUCCCCUCAAAUUCUACACACAAUACCCCAUAAUAACAUGAAAAGGUUUUUUUUUUUUAUUAUUAUUAUUUUUGCAAAUGUAUUAGAAAUAAAGAACGAAAAUAUAAUAUGUACAUAAGUAUUCACAGCCUUUGCUCAAUACUUUGUUGUGGCAACUUUGGCAGCAAUUACAGCAUCAAGUCUUUUGGAAUAUGAAGCCACAAGCUUGGCACACCUAUCUUUGGUCAAUUUCACCCAUUCCUCUUUACAGAAUCUCUCAAGCUCCAUCAGGUUGGAUGGGGAGCGUCAGUCCACAGGCAUUUUCAGAUCCUUCCAGAGAUGUUCAUUGGGAUUCUAGUCUGGGCUCUGGCUGGGCCACUCUAGGACAUUCACAGAGUUGUCCUGAAGCCGCCACUUCGAUAUCUUGGCUGUGUGCUUAGGGUUUUUUGUCCUGUUGAAAGGUGAACCGUUGUCCCAGUCUGAGGUCAGGAGCGCUCUGGAGCAAGUUUUCUUCCAGGAUGUCUCAGUACAUUGCUGCAUUAAUUUUUCCCUCAAUCCUGACUAGUCUCCCCGUUUCUGCCACUGAAAAACAUCCCCACAGCAUGAUGCUUCCACCACCAUGCUUCACUGCAGGGAUGGUAUUGUCCAGGUGAUGAAUGGUGCCUGGAAUCUGGAUUUCUCUAAACCGUAACGCUUGGCAUUCACACCUGAAGAGUUCGAUCUUUGUCUCAUCAGACCAGAGAAUUUUGUUUCUCAUGGUCUGAGAGUCUUUCAGGUGCCUUUUGGCAAACUCCAGGUGGGCUGCGAUGUGCCUUUUACUAAGGAGUGGCUUCCGUAUGGCCACUCUACCACACAGGCUUGAUUGGUGGAGUGCUGCAGCUAUCGUCAUCCUUCUGGAAGGUUCUCCUUUCUCCACAGAGGAUCCCUGGAGCUCUGUCAGAGUGUCCAUCGGGUUAUUGGUCACCCCUAACUAAGCCCUUCUCCCCUGAUUCCCUCAGUUUAGAGGGACGGCCAGCUCUAGGAAGAGUCCUGGUGGUUCCAAACUUCUUCCAUUUACGGAUGAUGGAGGCCACUGUGCUCAUUGGGACUUUUAAAGCAGCAGAAUGUUUUCUGUACCCUUCCCCAGAUCUGUGCCUUGAGACAAUCCCGUCUCGGAGGUCUACAGUCAAUUCCUUUGACUUCAUGCUUGUUUGACAUGCACUGAUAACUGUGGGACCUUAUAUAAACAGGUGAGUGCCUUUCCAAAUCAUGUCCAAUCAACUGAAUUUACCACAGGUUGACUCCAAUUAAGCUGUAGAAACAUCUCAAGGAUGAUCAGUGUAAACAGAAUGCACCUGAUCUCAAUUUUGAGCUUGAUCACAAAGUUGUUUGACAUGCACUGUUAACUGUGGGACCUUAUAUAAAGAGGUGAGUGCCUUUCCAAAUCAUGUCCAAUCAACUGAAUUUACCACAGGUGGACUCCAAUUAAGCUGUAGAAACAUCUCAAGGAUUAUCAGUGAAAACAAUGCACCUGAGCUCAAUUUUGAGCUUGAUUGCAAAGGCUGUGAAUACUUAUGAACAAGUGAUUUAUUUUGUUUGUAAACAAACUUUUUGAAGUCGUCAUUAUGGAGUAUUAUGUGUAGAAUUUUGAGGAAAAAUAUAUUUAAUCGAUUCUGGAAUAAGGCUGUAACAUAAAAUGUGGAAAAAGUGAAGCGCUGUGAAUACUUUCCAUAUGCACUGUCCUUUAUCUGGAGGCGCCUGAAGAAGAUGGUCCCUCAAGAAAAUCCAAUCGAAGAUGGUCCCUCAACUUUUUCAGGUGGGUUCUGCUCAAAUCGAAGAUGGUCCCUCAACUUUUUCAGGUGGGUUCUGCUCCAGGUUGUCUUCACACACACCAGUAGAGUUUUUUUUUUUUUUUUUUCUUGAGUGAAUGUAGUGGUUAGUUUACAAAUGGACUGAUCUUCACCUGAAAUUGGAAGCAUAAUUUUAUGUUGCAUUUACAGUUAAGAACAAAAUUAUUCAUACUCCUGGGAAAUAUUGAUUUAAUGUUGAUUUCCUCUUGACCAAUAUGUUUGUUCUGACUGAAAAUGCCACUGCCAGAUGCCAAAAGUGUGAAAGAAAGGUGUAAAGAGUUUUCAUAUUUUUUAACAUUUUUAUGAAAUAUGGCAUGUCCAAAAUUAUUCAUACCCCUUUUAAAUAAUCAAUGGAAACAUCUAUAUUUGCAUUCAUAGCCCUCAAAAUGGUUCUGAGUGUCUGUGUUCAGAGUGUGCCAGCAAAUUUUAACCCUUCCCUAGCUGACCUUUUAGAGCGCCUACACCAGCGUAUCUCUCUGCUCCGUUACCCUCCUAGCUGACCAAGGGAGCACCUACACCAGCGUGUAGCUCUGCUCCGUUACCCUCCUAGCUGACCUUUUAGAGCGCCUACACCAGCGUAUCUCUCUGCUCCGUCCCUUGGAAUCCUCUCUAAUAAUUCUACUGCUCACCACUUCUCUUGCCGUUAGUUACAGUAUUCCAUUGCUUCCGGCUUUCUCCAUUGCACUUUGUAGUGCUAAAUUGGUGCAUAUUGCUAUUCAUGGUUUACUCAAACUCAAUUAUCACAACUCAUGUAAAUAUAGGCCUAUGCAUCAUCCCGGGCUGUAAGGCCCGUGUCAUCACUAGACUACUAGCAUGUCUAUUGUAUUUUCGCUUAUAGGCUAAAUGUAAUUCAUUCAUUCAUUCAUUUAGAAUUGCUUGAUAGGUGUUGGCUAACGUGCCGUGGUUCUUAUUGGCACCUCUAGCCGACCAGCGGAGCACAGUGCCACAGCACAGGUCUUUAUGUAUUUAAAGGUUGUAUCGGCAAUGGCGGGUUAAGGUUACUUCUGUUGAUGUUCAAACAAAACAUGUAACCCAUUUAUCACUUAAAUAAGUAUAUUUUAAGACCAUGCGUACAUGUUAUUCGUAAUGUCUAUAGCAUAUUUUGAUUCUUAUCUGCAAUGCACAUAUUGUACCCACAUUGGUUCCAAGUGCAACUCCUAUCUACCAACGCAUUGGAAUUGGUAUAAACUGUUACUCAUUUUAGGUUAUAUCCCGACAAAUAACGGUCUACCACUUGUCUAGGGAUCUUGCCAAAAAAGCAGAACCGUAGAUAGUGAAAUUGGGAUGUCAUCAUGAUUCACUCAAAUCGUUGAAUCACGGGCCAGUUCCUCUAUUCCCACUGUACUGACCCCGAGCUCUGCAACUGCAAGCUGUACUCCCCAGCGCUGACCCCGAGCUCUGCAGCUGCAAGCUCAUUGUCCGGCUCAUUAUGUUCGUUAACCCUCGAGUCUACCUAUUCUUUUAGGAUUGGUGCAGCCACCACAGCGGUAAAUGACUUUCUCCCAAGUCAGGCUGCCUAAACUCAACCGUCUUCAUUUUUCCACUGAACGCAUACCUCCACAUUAAAUUUGAACCGCUUAUUGCAGACCUUGACUGGUAAACUGAGCAACACUUUUCAACUCUAGCUCACUCGUGGUUGGAGCCUUAGCAAUUCCUGAGACAUGCAUCUCUUGCAGGCAAUGUGGAUACUCUUAACCUGUUAACAUGGGCAUUAAAGUAAAAAUAAACUGCUAGCGCAGCCUUAACACAAAGGUGCCACAUGCAGUGUGAAUCAGGCGUAAUUCUCUUGUCUGAAAAAAUUGUCUGCCAGGGGUAGAACUCUGAUCCCUACAAGUUAGGAGUCCAUGGGCAUAGUUGAGCAAGGCAUAAUUUCACAAGAAUCAGUAACUAUACCUUUUAGCUAGAUAACCAGACCAGGGGAAAGGGCACAAGGCUCAUGAAGGUUAUCCAGCCCCAUCAUCACUCUUCAAAGCAAAUAUCAAUGGUGAGUUUUUGGUGUGUUUUUACUACUUUUAGCAUGUCUUUCUUUAUAUGGCUUGCUACUUUUAUUUAUUUAUUUAUUUAUUUAUUUAUUUAUUUAUUUAUUGAAAUAAUGAGAUUAAAAAAACACUAACAAUGGAGCAUGCACCAGUAAAUGAUAUGCUAUGGGAAAUGUAUUAGUUAAUGGAGCUAGUUAUGCAAUGGUGAUUACCAUAAAAGAUAACUAUGCAAUACCAGUGCAAGAAUAACAAUUCCAAUGUAUGAUUGUUUGCAAAUAGAAAAAACAGAUUUGCAAUAGAUAUAAAAUAUGUGCAUGAUGGAGGACCUUUGUGCAUGUUGGUGAUCGAUAUAAAAUAUGUGCAUGAUGGAGGAAUUUUGUGUAUGUUGGUGAUGAAUGCUAUUGGUGUUGUGCAUGUUAAUCCAUUGUUGAUUGUUUCUCAGGCAGGUGCAAUGUUUUGCUACCCAAAACAAAGCCUGCAAUGGUAACGGUGGAGUUCUGGAAUCGUCAUUUGGUCCAUCUAGGUUGUCUGUUUUGGGUCUCAAUGCAUGUCUGUAUACAUAAUUGAACAAAUUAGUAGUGUUGUGCAAUAAUGGUUGUGUUAAUUUAUUAUUGAUGUAUGUUCCUGUAGUGCUUGCCAAAAGCUGAUGAUGCAUGUCCCAACAAGAGAACGCUACAUGAGAAGGAAAUUGAGUGCAGGAGGUCACGGUGAGGUGCAGUUCCUCUCGUGAUGUCAUGAGGCCAAAAGGGAGACGCAAGGGAAGUGGAACAAACCCUUCGCCAUGGCAACAGACCCCUUGUAAAGACAGCCAGACAACAAAGACUGGAAAUGUGUGUGUGUGUGUGUGUGUGUGUUUUUCACACAGAUGAGUGAAGGAGGUUAUGAUGAAACCGUAGGAACAGACCAUGGCACAGACCCUCAUCAUGGAUUCACUGCAUUUUGUCCUAUGAAAUCUGUUGUCAGUAUAUUUUAUGUUGGUAUUUUUUGUGUGAAUUCCUGCUGUCUGGAGAUGUGAAACAAUCUUAACUGUUAACAAUGAUAUUGUUGUGGUGUGUGUGUAUUUUUUGCUAACUGGCAGUGAUGAUUUCUCUUGUAUGAAUGUAUUAUUCUUGUUUGUACCAUGAUUGCUAUUUGUGUAAGUGUGUUAACAAUUAUAUUGUUGUGGUGUGUCUUCAUUUUUUGCUAACUGGCAGUGAUUAUUUUGUUAUGUACAAUGGUAGAAAUAUUCCAGUCAUGCACAUUAGUCUGUUGUCACAUGCUAUUUUGAAUUGUGUUAAGGAACUUUGGAAAAUCCUUGUAGCUGAACACUUACUGGCACAACAGUAGUAUCUGCAUGCUGUUUAGAUUUAGGCAAUAACAGACAUUCUUAAAAUGUAAUCCAGCUGUAGUUAAAUUGCCCAGUGCAAGAAGGAUUCUGUUCAGACUAAGUCAUAACCACCUUGGUUUGGUUACAUGGCAAUUAUGGUGAUCUAUUUUGUUAGUUAAAUUUCAGGGACUAAGGCUUAAUACAGGUAUUGACUAGUGUGUACAGUGUGUGAUUUAUGAAUGUUAUAUCGACUACUUAGAUUGGAAAACAAGUGGUCUGUCAAGGUAUGUUUAGAGCUGUAUACAGGCCAGAUAGUGCUGAUGCGCCUGGUGGCGAA